rnacentral:tRNA from 1 species
AGGCCAGUAGCUCUAAUGGUAGAGCGGCAGACUCCAAAUCUGCGGGUUGGGGGUUCGAAUCCCUCCUGGCCUGCCA